UAUUAACAAACAGACCGGCACAGAACAGACAGGUUAACAUAAGAAAACAGGCUAAAAGGUGCGCACGGGAACUGGAAAAAAGGGGCGUACACUUAGGUAAGACUAUCGGAGAAUAAUGAUGAUAAAUAUAACUAGAACUAAAAGAGAAUACACAGAACCGGGACUUAUUAUUGACCAACAAAAACAGAGAGACAGUACAACAGCGAACAGCUGACAACGAUGGUAACUAAACAGGGAGUGCGGGGAGAAAGUACAGAGGAACGAGUGGCGAGAUCAAACGGGAAUAUCCUAAAGACAUACGAGAUCUAACCAGAACCACAUAUGUGCGAGGACAAGCGAGAUCAAACCAGAAACUAUGACCGACCAACAAGAGACGCAGAAACAAGGUUUAAAUACAACCACCAUUAGUGAAAAACUCGGAACAGCUGGAGACAACGGGGCGGAAACCCGGAAGUGACUCGGUGUAUAAGGAAACAGGGAACGGUCAGUAGUCCCAUGUCCAUUGGAUGAGGCCUUGCCCUGAUGUGGUGCCACCCCAUGAUGAUCAAGCUGCUGGACUCCAGAAGAAGGGCUGGUCAGUUACAAUACCCAGGAUGUCUCCUAGUGGACUGACCCUUGUCCCAGGGGUCAUUCAAGGCGAUGCCUCAGUAACCCUCCCAUAGACCCUCCUAGUGGCCGUUCUGAUGGUCAUUUUUGUUUGGUCUCACCUGUCCAACAUAAUAACAGCUCUGAUGAUCGCUCCUGAGCUAAGGUGAGAGCAACAGGUGGUUGUCAUGACAGCCCCCUUCAUCCCUGGGGCCUGACAUCAACCCAUCUUCCACUUUGACCUUCAUUUCCCAGCAUACUCCUGCCUCGUCAGUGACUCCAUUGAUCCACCAACUGCAGCUCUCGUCUCUGCUCCACAGCCUCUGAUUAUUGAUUGUUUUCACCUGUUCUCAAUUCCACUUACCUUUAUAGUCUGUUUCCCUGUUCUCGUAAGUAUUGCCAUGUCUAUUGGGUGCAUACCAAGUGUUACUUCCUGGUUUUUCUUACCUGUUUCCUGAUCAUCGUUUUUGCUCUGGUUUGGUUGCUUGUAUGGAUUGCUUCUUUUGUUUUCUGGAUUUGUACUGUUAACUCAUUUUCUCUUUGCCUGCCUUGUUCAUGCCCUGGUUAUCAAUCCACACCUGAUUACCAACCAUGGCUGUGUAUUACCCCUCUCCCAAUAAACCUUUUGUAUUCAA